rnacentral:rRNA from 1 species
GAUGAACGCUGGCGGCGUGCCUAAUACAUGCAAGUCGAGCGAACGGACGAGAAGCUUGCUUUUCUGACGUUAGCGGCGGACGGGUGAGUAACACGUGGAUAACCUACCUAUAAGACUGGGAUAACUUCGGGAAACCGGAGCUAAUACCGGAUAAUAUAUUGAACCGCAUGGUUCAAUAGUGAAAGACGGUCUUGCUGUCACUUAUAGAUGGAUCCGCGCUGCAUUAGCUAGUUGGUAAGGUAACGGCUUACCAAGGCAACGAUGCGUAGCCGACCUGAGAGGGUGAUCGGCCACACUGGAACUGAGACACGGUCCAGACUCCUACGGGAGGCAGCAGUAGGGAAUCUUCCGCAAUGGGCGAAAGCCUGACGGAGCAACGCCGCGUGAGUGAUGAAGGUCUUCGGAUCGUAAAACUCUGUUAUUAGGGAAGAACAUAUGUGUAAGUAACUAUGCACGUCUUGACGGUACCUAAUCAGAAAGCCACGGCUAACUACGUG